GGUUGAUCCUGCCAGUAGUCAUAUGCUUGUCUCAAAGAUUAAGCCAUGCAUGUCUAAGUAUAAGCAACUUGUACUGUGAAACUGCGAAUGGCUCAUUAAAUCAGUUAUCGUUUAUUUGAUAGUACCUUACUACAUGGAUACCUGUGGUAAUUCUAGAGCUAAUACAUGCUAAAAACCCCGACUUCAGGAAGGGGUGUAUUUAUUAGAUAAAAAACCAACGCCCUUCGGGGCUCCUUGGUGAAUCAUAAUAACUUAACGAAUCGCAUGGCCUUGCGCCGGCGAUGGUUCAUUCA
rnacentral:rRNA from 1 species